UUAUUUCGGUGGCCUAGUGGUUAGAGCGCCCGCCUCGGAUGCGGGAGGUAGUGGGUUCAAUCGACGGCCUAGUCAU